CCAAGGCACUCUUGAGCAGCUCAGGUGGAAUACCCUUAGGCCCAGCAGCACAUCCAUUCUAUAACAUUUGGAUGAACUUUUGUACUUUCUCAAGGGAUGGAGGAGCAGUGUGUGUCCCUGGAUCUGUUGAAGGUCAGAUAGCUCUGGACAGUUAUCAGCAGAAAAUCCCUGUUUGAAGGACUGACUCCUUCAAGAUCACGUGUUGGAGCUGGUGUGAUCCCUGGAUCCUUGGAACGAUGCUGGGCGUUGUGCUGUUGAUGGACAACAGGCUUGUGAGGAGUUGGAAGAUGCAGUGGGAGCUGAGGGGCAACUAGUCUAGGCGCUGAGUUUGCUGGUGUUUCUCUGCCACUGAAGACCAAGUGAGAUUUCACUAUGGAGCAAUUUUGGAUGCGGAUGUGGUCAAUUUCUGUCAUAGCAUAUCCCUGAUCUGAAAUCCAGCUAGAGCUAUGGUUAUCGAGGUGCCUAAAUCAGGACCCCAUGACAGACAAACCCUUAUUAGCACACAAUGUCAGAAGCCAAGCGGUUGUGGUGUUUGGUGAACCUGAACCA